rnacentral:lncRNA from 10 species
GCAGAACUCCGUACUGUUCUGGGUCAAGCGCGCGGAGGGCGGCUUGGGCCACCGCAGAGCUGGGAGGGAGGAGCUAGGAGCGGCUGUUUUGGGGGCCCGGGGCAGCUACUGUCUGGGUGGGACCGUGCGGUGCCGGCCCAGCCCCGGAGGUGCCGGGGAGCGUCCCGUCCGCGGAUCCCCGCGCACGUGGUGCCGGGCGUCCCUUCAUGGUCUGUGGCCGGAUUCGGGCUCGAGCGCCAGGGGCGGCUGGGCCAGCACCUUCCGACCGGUCGCUUUUUGUUCGCGGAGGCCGCUGGGCGCUAGGCGUCGUUCUCGGCCUCGCAGGAGCUCAGACCGCCGAGCGCACAAGGCCGCAGUGUUCCUGCAAGCGGCCGCCCCGCGCGGCAAGUUUGGUCGCAAACAAGCUCUCCCUCCGCUAACCCCAAACACUGCGAGGACAGCGGCUGGACUUUAUAAACUCUUCACACCCAAAACUCGAAUUUGGAGACGGAACUGUGAUUGCGAUGAGCCUCUGUAGUGAGGAAUGACCUUUCCAACCUUGGAUUCUCUUGCUGGCCCAUGUAAACAUAAAUAGGAGGCAUUUCCCGAAAGAGUGGCCGCGUGGUUUCCAAGGUUAAUUUCAUAAGCCGCUCUGCCUGCCCGUUUUAUAAAAGAUGCUAACCCACGUAAAAUUAUUCUGGAGUGCCACUUCGGAGUCUGGGAGAAUAAUGGGAGUUUGUACAAGAACCUUGAUGGGGCAUUUUUUACACACUUAACCUAAUAAUGAAAUUAAACGUUUUUAGUUUUUGAGUACUUUAUGCUGAAACACCUUGUGGAGAAACUUUAAGUGUACCGUAUAAGAGACAAAAAGUACAAACAGGAGGAAUUACAAACAGGAAAUACAAACACGCAGAUAUGGGUACAACUUUAGGGACUCUGGCCUCACCCAGAGCCCUAAUCCUACGGCUCAGAAAACUAGACCAAUUGCCCUGCCUCCCACCACGCCAGUUUGGGGCAGCUAAGGGCGCACUCCCCUCCAUCUUUUUUGGGUUCUUAUGUUUUUAUGAUGUUUAAGACAGAGGCCGGGUGCGGUGGCUCACGCCUGUAAUCCCAGCACUUUGGGAUGCCGAGGCGGGCGGAUCACGAGGUCAAGAGAUCGAGACCAGCCUGACCAACAAGGUGAAACCCCGUCUCUACUAAAAAUACAAAAAUUAGUUGGGCGUGAUGGCAGGUGUCUGUAAUCCCAGCUACUCGGGAGGCUGAGACAGGAGAAUCCCUUGAACCUGGGAGGCUGAGGUUGCAGUGAGCCGAGAUGGCGCCACUGCGCUCCAGCCUGGCGACAGAGUGAGACUCCGUCGCAAAAAAAAAAAAAAAAAAAAAAAGACAGCAGGACUUCAGAAUGCACUUAAGAUUGUGCUGUGAAUGCGUUACUUUAAAAGAAAUGCAUUCUCUUGUUGAUUUUCAUGACAGGUUUUCAUUAGCGGUCACUUCCAACACCAAGCAAACAAAGAAGUGGCAAAAUGUCUCUUCCGCCUCUUCCCAGUUCUCCUUUCUGAACACCUCUGCCUGUGCUCCUGGUACUGUCACCCCAUCUGGAAGCUCAGUUAUAUCUUUAGAUAAACUUUCAUGAUAGAUCCCAGCUUAUCUAAACAACUGGAAAAAGAGUUAACUUUCUUUCCCAAAUGACAUAUCUUAAGGCAG